UCGAGAAUUUUUCUCAAUGGGGGAAACCCUGAAGGAGCGACGCCGCGUGGAGGAUGAAGGCCUUCGGGUUGUAAACUCCUGUCAUUUGGGAACAAGUCGUAAAUAUUAACUGUAUUUGCGUUGAUAGUACCAGAAGAGGAAGAGACGGCUAACUCUGUGCCAGCAGCCGCGGUAAUACAGAGGUCUCAAGCGUUGUUCGGAUUCAUUGGGCGUAAAGGGUGCGUAGGCGGCGCGGUAAGUCGGAUGUGAAAUCUCGGGGCUUAACUCCGAAACUGCAUUCGAUACUGCCGUGCUUGAGGACUGGAGAGGAGACUGGAAUUUACGGUGUAGCGGUGAAAUGCGUAGAUAUCGUAAGGAAGACCAGUGGCGAAGGCGGGUCUCUGGACAGUUCCUGACGCUGAGGCACGAAGGCCAGGGGAGCAAACG
rnacentral:rRNA from 1 species